UCUUUAUAUAUAAAAGAUGUUUUGCUCUCUCCUGAGGCUGCCACCUAGGAUUCCACUUAGGAAAGUCGCUUCACGAGGAGUCAACACGUGUCCCGCCUGCUCGAAACACAGCGUUUCAUUAAAGGAAUCAGCGAUCCAUAUGGGCUAAGUUUGUGUGUGGGCUUUUUUUAAUUUGGCACAAGAAAAGCAGCCCGAUAGCAGUCAACCCUAAUAACACAAUGUUCAUCUCCGUUCUUUGUUCUUCGUCAUCUGAUCUUCUUUUUCAUCAACCAAAAACGUUACCAGUUACAGAUUCGUCUCAUUAAACCUCUUCUUAACUCCAUCAACCACGAUCUGGUCUUGAAUGUGAACUUCUCUUCUCCGAGGCGGUGUCACUGCGAAUAUAAAAAGUUAAGCCUUCAUCUUCUCAAAACCAUCUUCUCGAUCUGUUGAACCAACAAAGUAAAGUUAUUUUCACAUAAAUGGCUAACUUGAAAGUUCUUAUUUCUCAUUUGAAAUCUGGUAAAUUUUCUUCUCCGGUUGAGGUUAGGUUGAUGCGUUGACUUCCUCUGCCUAGCAAAGGGAAACAUGAACGGUUAGUGGCUACACUCAGUCGAUUCGUCUGGACUUCUUCUUAAAUCGUUAUGGGCAUCAAUAUGCUUCUUCUUGAAGCCAAGGUUGCUCCGGCGAUUUAGAAAACAAACUCAAGUUUUUUCUGUAAGAUUUACAAAUGAUGAUUUAAAGUCAAAGUCUUUACAAGCUGAGUUUGGCGAAAAGAGGAGCUUUGGUCGCGGUUUCUGUAUUACAGUCAAGAGAUUGCAACAUAUAAAAAAAUUACUAAUGCUCUGCUUCAUAGAAGGAUAUUACUGAAGAAAACAAAUCUCAUCCAUGCCCAACAGAGUGGUUAUUCCGUGUUGAUAUUGUUAAUAAAUGGAAAGAGUCUAACGGUUUCAGUGCUGCCCAGAUGUUUAGAGAAUAUCAAGAUGUCUGAUACGGCCUUACUGGGGGAUUAGAAUUCUUUUGGUUCAAUGGAAAAUUAGCUUAGCAGUCCAGUGAGAAAGUGUUGAAGGAUGCAAUGAAACCAUCACAAAACAGUUCUGCUUAUGUCUAUGAAAGCUGGCGUCGAACUGAAUCUAACCGCUUCUUCACACGUCUUCUUAACGCGUAGGGCAGAAAAGAAUGGCAUGUGGAAGAAGCUUCAUUGUUAAAACCAGGUCACCUUCUACACAACUGGGCGUGACAAGUCAGAUAAUAGGAAAACAAAAGCUUGCUACAUGUCUCUCUAAGGUAGUUUUGUUGCUUCCUGAAUUGGUCUAAACAAGCAGAAGAAGGCUAAGGGAAACCGGAACAUUAUCUUCUGGUUGGACACAGAAGCGCUUGGAAUGCAUUGGAUCGUUUGGUGCAAGAAAAUUUUAUGUCUAAGAAACCAGAGGAGAAGAAGGUGGUCAAGUAAAGUGAUGGAAGAUCUAAUUCCAUUAAUGGAGCUAUAAUAGGAGGAAGCUUUAUGCUUGGAUCAACAAGUCUCCACCCAUAAAUGUAGACAAGACAAUCAGUUUUUUUUUUUUUUGCAAUUAUUAUUUGAUCCUAAUAGUCCAAAAACUACCCGUUGACGAAGUCUUUUUCUUUUGUAUUUCUCAUUCACUAUAAAUAAAAAUUUCAAAUUUCUUCUU